GCCAGGGAGAGUUUUCAUACCACCACUUAAGCCCAGGAAUGAGGAGCAAGUACCAGCCUCUGCCAUUGUCAUUGCUGAAAUAGGUCUGCCAACUUCUGGAUAUCCCAAUGACGACAUUGAAGAAGUCAAAACAAGCAUGACUUAUGAAUCAGAUUAUUUGGAACUGUGCUCAGCUGGCCCCACACCCCCAAAAUGUGUCAUGACAAUGAAGAAAAAGACUAAGAAGGUGGUACCAGCGAAAUCAAAAUCCUCCAGGUCAAAAGUGUGAUCGGUAGGAUCAGCAUCAGGCUCUAAAGUCAGCAGCCAAGACAUUCGCGACCUUCAGUUGAAGGUGUUGCAAGCCACUUUGGAGGCGCAGGUAGCUUUGGCAGAGACCCAAAAGGUGCAACGGGAGGAAGCCAACACCCAUAUUGCACUGAUGAAGGUCA